rnacentral:lncRNA from 1 species
AUAAAUAAAAAAAUCAAUCAAAAAAUAGAAAUCACAAAUAAUCCAAUCACUGAUUUAUCAUCUCUUGCAAAAAAAAAUUAUUUUUUUUAUUCAAGAAGAUGAAUAUUACAAUUCUUUUGGAGACAUUUAAGUUUCUGAUAAUCCGAAAAUACAAUAAGAACAAUACAAGAAGUGUCAAAAUUAUUGUUGGAAAUAUUUUGUGUUUGAGGUUGAUAUAUGCAAUUACGGCUGAAUUAGAGAUUGAGAAAUUCCAUAUAAAUAACAUAAAUCACAAGAUAUGCAUAACCUAAUGAGUGUAGAUAUUUGUGUUAAUAGAGAAAUUCCUCCAUUCUGUUACUACUGCUAUCCAUGGCAAAGAAGAAGGGAAAAAGAAUCUUUCUGUUCGUUGCUUUAAAAAAAAAAAAUUGAUGUAUGAAUUUUUUUGUGCGUAUAGCUUCUUCUUAUUGUAGUUUCUUCUUUAUUAAUGAUUGUUCACUCUCUCUAUUAUUAUUGUUACUUGAAUUUUGAAGGAAGAAAAAAUGUUGUUCUAUUAUUUUUUCCUCUAUUUUCUAGUUUAUCUUCCAUUCAUAACUGUGUAUAUUCUCUCCUUAAUGGCUGCUUUCUUUUUCUUGACUUUGUUUAUGUAUAUUUAUAUCUUUGUUUUUUUGUUCUUGUUUUGUAAAAGGUGAAAAAAUGUGUAGCUAGAGAUGUGUAUUUGCAAAAUUCAGCUAUGUAUUGAACAAUUUUUAUUCAGGAACAAUUUUUAUUAUUGAACAAUUUUUAUUCAGGGACAACAUAUACAUAUCAUCAGUAUAUGUUGAUAUACAAAACAUAUGACAACGUUAAAAAUAUAGAGUUAUUAUGUAUAUGACAACACAUAGAUAACAACUUGUUAUGUAUUGUAAAUAUUUAUACCAAUAUAUACAUACCCGAACUAUGUAUAUACAAACAUAUAUGUGCAAUAAAAAAAGUCUAAAAUAUUAGAUAUACUAAUUAUAUUUAGUUUGUCUAUUUCAGCUAUGUCCUUCGAUGAUACACCGAUAUAUAAAAGACAACCGAAAAGCCUAGGAAAGGAAGGAAGAAGAAAUCAAGCAGAAGUCUUUCAUCAAGCACAAAUCAUUGUGGACAAUGUGGGUAUGAGGGUCACAAUAGGCGUUUCUGUAACUUUUUUACAAAGGAGUAGUAACUUAAAAUUUUCCUCUUCUUAUGUUGAUUAAUCACUCAAUUAUCAUUUUCUACUUUUUUAUAAUAUUUUGUUGAACAAUUUAAGUUGGAUAUUGUUGUGAAGGCAUAAAUAUCAGUUUCUUCACUUUACCAUUUUUGUUUGAUGUAUUUUCAAUUUUAUUUUGUUGUAUAUGUUGUUGUUAACAAAACCAACACAAAUUCAAUAUACUAGGAUAUCAC